rnacentral:rRNA from 1 species
GAUGAACGCUAGCGGCAGGCUUAAUACAUGCAAGUCGAGGGGCAGCAGGAAUAGCAAUAUUUGCUGGCGACCGGCGCACGGGUGCGUAACACGUAUACAAUCUGCCUUUAACAGGGGGAUAGCCCGGAGAAAUCCGGAUUAAUACCCCAUAACAAUAGAACAAGCAUUUGUUUUAUUUAAAAGCUCCGGCGGUUAGAGAUGAGUAUGCGUCUGAUUAGCUAGUUGGUGAGGUAACGGCUCACCAAGGCGACGAUCAGUAGGGGAUCUGAGAGGAUUAACCCCCACACGGAUACUGAGACACGGAUCCGACUCCUACGGGAGGCAGCAGUAAGGAAUAUUGGACAAUGCCCGCAAGGGUGAUCCAGCCAUGCCGCGUGCAGGAAGACGGCCCUAUGGGUUGUAAACUGCUUUUGUACCGGAGAAAACCUCCCCUCGUGAGGGGAGCUGAUAGUAUGGUAAGAAUAAGCAUCGGCUAACUUCGUGCCAGCAGCCGCCGUAA